GACGAACGCUGGCGGCGUGCUUAACACAUGCAAGUCGAACGGAAAGGCCCUGCUUUUGUGGGGUGCUCGAGUGGCGAACGGGUGAGUAACACGUGAGUAACCUGCCCUUGACGUUGGGAUAACUUCAGGAAACUGGGGCUAAUACCGGAUAGGAGCUCCUGCUGCAUGGGGGGGGUUGGAAAGUUUCGGCGGUUGGGGAUGGACUCGCGGCUUAUCAGCUUGUUGGUGGGGUAGUGGCCUACCAAGGCGUUGACGGGUAGCCGGCCUGAGAGGGUGACCGGCCACAUUGGGACUGAGAUACGGCCCAGACUCCUACGGGAGGCAGCAGUGGGGAAUAUUGCACAAUGGGCGGAAGCCUGAUGCAGCAACGCCGCGUGCGUGAUGACGGCCUUCGGGUUGUAAACCGCUUUCGCCUGUGACGAAGCGUGAGUGACGGUAAUGGGUAAAGAAGCACCGGCUAACUACGUG
rnacentral:rRNA from 1 species